GACGAACGCUGGCGGCGCGCCUAACACAUGCAAGUCGAACGAGCGAGAGAGAGCUUGCUUUCUCGAGCGAGUGGCGAACGGGUGAGUAACGCGUGAGGAACCUGCCUCAAAGAGGGGGACAACAGUUGGAAACGACUGCUAAUACCGCAUAAGCCCACAGCACCGCAUGGUGCAGCGGGAAAAGGAGCAAUUCGCUUCAGGAUGGCCUCGCGUCCAAUUAGGUAGAUGGUGAGGUAACGGCCCACCAUGCCGACGAUUGGUAGCCGGACUGAGAGGUUGAACGGCCACAUUGGGACUGAGACACGGCCCAG
rnacentral:rRNA from 1 species